rnacentral:tRNA from 1 species
GCCCUCGUAGCUCAGUGGAUAGAGCAACCGCCUCCUAAGCGGUAGGUCGUCCGUUCAAAUCGGAUCGGGGGCA